rnacentral:rRNA from 1 species
AACGAACGCUGGCGGCAUGCCUAACACAUGCAAGUCGAACGAGACCUUCGGGUCUAGUGGCGCACGGGUGCGUAACGCGUGGGAACCUGCCCUUAGGUUCGGAAUAACUCCCCGAAAGGGGUGCUAAUACCGGAUAAUGUCUUCGGCCCAAAGAUUUAUCGCCUUUGGAUGGGCCCGCGUUGGAUUAGCUAGUUGGUAGGGUAAAAGCCUACCAAGGCGACGAUCCAUAGCUGGUCUGAGAGGAUGAUCAGCCACACUGGGACUGAGACACGGCCCAGACUCCUACGGGAGGCAGCAGUGGGGAAUAUUGGACAAUGGGCGAAAGCCUGAUCCAGCAAUGCCGCGUGAGUGGUGAAGGCCUUAGGGUUGUAAAGCUCUUUUACCCGGGAUGAUAAUGACAGUACCGGGAGAAUAAGCUCCGGCUAACUCCGUG